UUUUAUUUUAUUUUUUUAAAUUUUCUCGCAGCCCACUCAAAAGUGCAGCGUGAUGACGUAUUUAUAUUUGGACUCCUACGACGGCAUCUUGCUAAAAAACAAACAAACCGUCACGUAGACUCAAUGGUAAGCUACCCUUCAGUUAGUGCGUUCUGGAGAAUGCUACAGUCGAGAAAAAAUAAGCUAAAAAAAUCGAUAGGCUAAUAGAACGCUGAAAAGAAGAGAAAUAAAAACCGGAAAUUUCUAAGUGAUGUGGCCACAUGACCUAAACUGAGGAACUUUUUCAUUAAAACAGCGAAAGUGAAAGAAAACGAAGACGAUGUGACGGCUCCUCAGCAGCAGCCAGAAGUCCAGUGUGCUGCUAGAAGUGACAAUGAAGCGCUAGUACCAAUCACCAGCUCCAGGUGGGCAGAUGUUGAACUGCAAACACAUUCUUUGAAAUCAGGUGCGUGCCUCAAUCUUCUUUUAUGCUUCCCCUGAUUUCUGCGACAGUGUUCUCUACCGCAUUGGAGAUGUGCCUUGACUUAAAUAUCAUCCUAAUGUUCUCCUUGUCACAAUACAUUCAAACAACAUCAGAUCUACAAGCUCCGGGACACGACCACAAGCCAGGAGAGCUUGAUGUUUGAAUACAGAAGGGUCAGAUGGUAUUAUUAAGGUGAGGCUCUGGUUAGAGGAGUCCCAGUAAGGUGGAUGAUAACAUUAGAAAACAAGUCGACGGCAGAUGCUGCUUAGGCCACUGUGUGAGCGAAAGUUGAACAGUUCAACCCAGGCCUUUUCCAGAUGUCAACAAAGCCACGGUAUCUAAUCUGAUGCCCUUGUCUCUGGGAUUCAGUCACUGGGCCGUCAUUCAAAUUUGAACAAAACGUCCGCUUUGAAAUCAAUUCUUGGACACAAGGCAACUGAAAAAGACAAUAUACAUGGAGGAGGACAGCAAAUCAGAAAGAAAGAGAUCAUUAUUUAUACAAUUGCAAUGCGACAUCAGCUGUGAUUAUGGUUUUUGCAUCGCCAAAGGAAAAAUCAGUAUGGCUUGUUGUGACUCACGGAAUUCUCCUGUGCUUUCACUGAAACAAAGCGAG